rnacentral:misc_RNA from 1 species
UAGAAGCCUCCGGGAGCUUCAAUUAAUAAAUAUGAACAAAUUAGCAUCCCUCCCGAAGGGACUUCAACAUGUUCCCACUUUGCACAAACUCUCAAUUGAAAGUUGUCAUCAUUUGGAAUCUUUACCGGAGUGGAUGGAAAGCCUCACUGCAUUACAAUCUUUCUGUAUUGAAGAAUGCCCUCAACUGUCAGAAAGAUGCAAA